CUCCAGGAGAGGAAGGGCUCUGCCAGAGGAGAGAGGAGAGCGCUGGAGAGGACAGGCUGGAGAGUCCUUAGCCAGGAUGGAGGCUGUUGUGAACUUGUACCAAGAGAUGAUGAAGCACGCAGAUCCCCGGAUCCAGGGCUACCCUCUGAUGGGGUCCCCUUUGCUAAUGACCUCCAUCCUCCUGACCUACGUGUACUUCGUUCUCUCACUUGGGCCUCGCAUCAUGGCUAAUCGGAAGCCCUUCCAGCUCCGUGGCUUCAUGAUUGUCUACAACUUCUCACUGGUGGCACUCUCCCUCUACAUUGUCUAUGAGAGAGGUUCAGAUCCAUGUCCUCAGCUAGCGAAGGGGAGGGAUGGCUGGGAAGGGAGAACUCUGGUGGUCUAAUCCACAUCCCUUCCUAGUUCCUGAUGUCGGGCUGGCUGAGCACCUAUACCUGGCGCUGUGACCCUGUGGACUAUUCCAACAGCCCUGAGGCACUUAGGAUGGUUCGGGUGGCCUGGCUCUUCCUCUUCUCCAAGUUCAUUGAGCUGAUGGACACAGUGAUCUUUAUUCUCCGAAAGAAAGAUGGGCAGGUGACCUUCCUACAUGUCUUCCAUCACUCUGUGCUUCCCUGGAGCUGGUGGUGGGGGGUAAAGAUUGCCCCGG
rnacentral:sRNA from 1 species